rnacentral:sRNA from 1 species
AUGUCUUCAACAACAAAAACGAAUAAUGCUGUUUUGCCUCCGCGCAAAAUCAAUCUCCAGAAGUUUCGAGAAUCUCGAGGUCCAGAGCUCGAAUCGCUUCACUCCUUAGUAUCAACUCGGCUGAACAACGAUUUCCGGUCUCACAGGAACAAGAGACGAAGAACAACCUCGUACGACAAUCAAGCUGCCAAGAAGAACAAGAAGAGGAGACGCAGGAAUGAAACCAGUGCUUGUUUGGAGAAAGAUAAAGAGGAGAAGGAGGUUAAGGUUGUUCCUCGGCGCAUUCGGAGGAGAAUUGAGCUUCGGAUGAAUCUGGAAAAAGGGUUUUCGAGUUCUGGAGAUGGGACUAAGAGGCUUAGAACACAUGUUUGGUAUGCGAAGCGGUUCGCUAUGACUAAGCUUUGGGGGUUUUAUCUUCCUCUUGGUUUGCAAGGAAGGUAAAAUACAAAAAUAAAGUGUUACUAUUAUAAUCUCUGUUUUACUGCUUUAAAAAAAUUAUGACUUGUUUAAGAUUGUGUUUGAAUGAGCUUUGUUUUCUUUAUGCUGUGUAAAGAGUGUUGCGGUAUACGAAAAAAAUGUGAGGUUUUGAAAAUUUGUGUCUAAGUAAAUAGAUAGAAUGAGCGUUUCAGAAACUGAAACAAAUGGACCCUGAGAGAUUUUUCAAAGUCCUAUGAUCAAUAAAUCUGAACUUACUAAAAUAAAAUAAAUGGUCGAAGGAAUUUUGAAAAUUGAAAUCAACACUGAAUUUCGUAUGUCUAUUUCUGUCAAUAAGAAUGGAAAAAUUAACGAUUCAAUUUAGUGCAAGGUAAGUGUAACAUUUGAAAAAUUGGGGGUAAACUGAUGUUGACUGACCCUAUAUUUUAUGGUUGAUCGGAUUGUCUGGAAAGGUGUGAAUUGGAUAAUGGACUGAGUACAAAUGUGUGUUUUGAAGAUUUUUAGUUUUAAGCUAUGUAUGGAGAAUGGUGUAUGUGCCUUACACUAUUUAAUUGUUGACAAUGGUUUUUAAAUGUUUUGUGUAGGGGAAGGGGUUCAAGGGCACUCCUCAAGUGGUUCAAACAGGAUGUUCUCGUACAUGAUGCGAGUUAUCAUGUUUCUGUCCAAUUAGAGGGUCCGGAGGUAGGCACUCUCUCUUCUUGUUACAAACUUUUUGAUUCUAAACCCAUUUCAUUCACAUUUGUUAAAUAAUAGGAUUGUGGAAGCAGAUCUUUAAUGAAUAGUUGAAAUAAUUAUUUCCAGCUCCACUGGCCGAAUAAAAAAGUCAAGCAAUUUUUUUUUUAUAUUCUAUUAUGAUCAAUGUAAACUGAUCUUGUCUUGUAUGCUUCCAGGAUUCUUUAAUAUCGGUUCUAAAAACUCUGAUGGUGCCUUCCCCUUCAGAUCUUUCUGAAACUUCUUCUCGCUCUGUUAUUAUGGGUGCCAUGUAUGGAAGUGCUAUGGUAGGUUAUCUCAUUAAGUGAUCUCUUAUGAACAGGGAUUACAUAAGGAUUUAGAUAUAUGAAUUCCUUGUUCUUUGUAGCUUCAUCAUGUUGGAGCACCACUUUCUCAGCCGAUUGCUCCAGUGACCUAUAUGUGGCGACCCGUUUGCCAGCAGAAUAGAGAUAGUGAUGCUAUGGACCAUGAUGGUGAUGGCUGUGACAAGCCAGAGAACAUCGAGUCCAGUUCUUCCUCUCGCCAGAUGUGGGUGUGGAUACAUGUUUCUGCUUUUAGUGAAGGAUUUGAUGCUCUAAAAUUUGCCUGCCAGAAGGAGGUACGCAUUCUAAAUUUGGUUCACAUAACAGAAUCAUAUUUCUCUUUAUCUUUUGAAGCUUAGUAGGCUUAAACUUCCAACUUCAAAUGAGGUGUCAUAUGUGGGAAGUCUUGUUACUCUAAAGCUGCAUUAAAAUUUUCUGGAACCUGCCCUAUAAGUGAAUGAUAAUCUCAUGGGAUCCUUCCAUUAUAAUUUAAGAAAAAGACAUUGUUGUUGAUGUUAUAGUUUUCUUUGUAGUUGCAUUAGAUAUAUGUCAUGUGUCCAAUGUGAUACUAAGUUGUUUUUAUGUCUUUUGGUAAUAGGUUUCAAUUGCCUAGAGUAUUAGAUAGUAGAAUAGAGAAACAGCUGGUGCUUAGAUCACUCAUCACAUACUCUUGUAACAUUUAUUUUCCCCCUUCAUGUGUUCUAUCUUCAGAUGGAUGAGAGGGGCAUUUUGAUCAAUUGUGUUUCGCUUGAAGGUCAACUUGCAAAAUUAGAAGUAUUAGGAUUAAAGGCAUUUCAACAUCUUCAGAAGAUAUUACAUCCUGUUACUUGGUGAGUUAUUUAAUGCUAGAAAUGUCUUACUAAGUAAAGAAGUGCAAGAUGGCUAAUUGGUGUUGACUGGCUUUACAGCUCUUCAGAGAACCCUUGGCAAUUGAGGAAGCAUUCAGCUGUAGACUCUGACCAUGACUUCCAAUUGAAGAAGUCUUCUGUACUUGAAAAUGAGGAGAAUUUUUCUUCUCAUGCAAUUGUGUCUCUUAGAGUCAAGGAUCCUCGCAUAAUGCCUGAUAAAAGGUUCGCAGAUGUUCCAGAGUCACUUUCUACUGGUAUGCUCUGCGUAUCAGAAGCUGAAGCUAGAGAGGAUGUUGCAUUAGCAGAAAUACUAGACAAGAACGAGGAGUUGUUAUCUGGGACAAAACCUGGAGGAAAUAGCAUUAUUUAUGAUAACAAGGAUUUAUGGGAUAGUAGCAGUGGAGUAAGUCCCCCUAUGGAAGAGCGUGUAUUGUGUAUGGAAAAAAAUGUUCUGCGUAUGGAUAAGUUCUGCCUUGAUGCUUCAAAUUCAGGAAUGCUGAACACUUCAACCAAGGUGCAGUGCUCGAGAUCUUGCCCUAUUCUACUUAUAAAAAAUAAUGAUCCAAAGGGAUUGCUUAUAGGGUAACUCCUUUUAUCCUAGUAAAAUCUCCAAUUUUGUCUUACUCAAAUAAAGCUAAUUCUUACAAUUGGGAACCCAAUUCUUAAUUUACAUAUAACACAUGCAUAAUUAUCCAUGGUGACUUACUGUUAUUGUCUAUCAAUUAGGCACCAUUGUGUUUAUGCCUCAGAAGAGUAAAAUUGUCAGUUAUGAAAAUUCUGAUUUAAUAAAUGGCUUUGGCUGUGGACAAAGAGUUAGUAUGAAAAAUAGUGCAAAUUUUAGAUCCUAAGAAUCUGUGAUUAGCCUUUUCUUCAGAACGUGCUUAGCCUUCCAUCAGUGGAAAUUUAUUUUUGAGAAUUCAAUUAGAUUUAUUUUAAGAAUACAGUUAGAUUUAUGACACUAAUGUUUCAGAUAAAGAGAAGCAAUUUGUCUUUCACAGUUGUUUCCAUUUGAUAUAUUUAUUUUUGGGUAACUUCCAUUUUGAUAUCUAAUUAACAUUUAAAAUGAAGAGAAGCAUCUUGAUUUCUUGAAUUUUUAUUGCAAAAUUUAAAAUUAUGAUGGUCCACAAGAUAGCUGAUAAAUCUGUUAAAUAGUUUUCAGGAGAAAGCAGAUUGUAAAUUUAUUAGUAACAUUUGUUUUGUGCAUGCUGACUAGAUGGCAAAAUAUAUUGUUUUGAGAUGCAUGGAGAAUCUAACUGUCAGAUUUUUUUUGUAAUGUUUAGUAUCUUAUAAGUAUUUGUUUUAUUUCCUUUCAGAUGGUCCAUUAUACUUCCCUUAAGUUGGGUCAGGGUCUUUUGGGCUCCUCUUAUCUCUAAGGGAGCUCAUGCAAUAGGUUUGAGAGAGAAGCAUUGGGUUGCAAGUGAAGUAAGCCUUUCAGCACCUUACAAAGUUACAACUAUUGUAUUCAUUAAUGGUUUUUCAAGCAUUGAAUGAAAUUUUAUCUCUUGCAGAUGGGGAUGCCCUUUUUUCCUUCAGAUUUUCCUGAUUGCAAUGCUUACUCAUUCUUUAUGGCAAAUGAAGCUGCUGUCUUUAAUAAAAAAGUAGAACGUUCCCCUCCUGAUGUCAGACCAUGGAGAGUUCCCAUUCCACCCCCAUGGGACACCAUCUGCCAUGCUUUCAACGAAGGCCCCACUAGAGUAGGAAAUAGUCAAAUUAACAAUGAGGAAAAAAUGUUUAAUGGGAAUUCGUUGUCCAACUCUGACUCUGGAAAUUGUAGUACAUCGUCAUUUGUUCAUCAUGGUAAUACAUUUGACGGAGUUGUAGCAAGGACACACUUUGUGCUGACUGAUUUCUUGAGAGAAAUCCAAGGUGAUCAUUUGCUUCUAUUUUCUCAACUGCCUGACAAGAAGACAAGUAUAUUCAAGUUAUUGAAAGAUGAAAGCAAGUUUGGCCCCAGGAUGAAUGGUAUUUCCCACUUUAGUUAUGGUCGGAAACUAUGUUUUCUCAGAAUUCUUCUCCAUGCUUACAAGGAAGGCGUUUUUGAAGAGGGGGCAGUUGUAUGUGCACCUCAACUUACUGAUAUAUCAUUGUUGAUUUCAAGGUAGUUAAAUCUUGAAACUUUUAUUUUAGGUUAAUGAGUUCUUCCCUUCACUUACCAAGGGUUCCAUUCAUUUAGAAUUUUUAAGCUUCUCGUUUUACUUUUUUGUUCCCUUUUUUUUUUCUUGAAUUGGCAAUUACAAAACUUCUAAUUUGGGAAAAUGAUAGAUGAAUUGCAAGGGUUCUCAAACAACUUUUCGUGUGAAUAUUUAAUGAAAAGUGUAUGCUUUGGUGCAUUAGAAAGGUGAAAUCUGACAUGAAAAAUCAUAAGAUUUGUUGGAUUAUCUUGUUCUUAUGAAAAUACUACUCUCUCAAAUGCAAACGUUGUUAAUGUCAAGUUCUUCUUUACUUUGUGCCUAGUAUGGUUCGAAUACCCUUGAUUAAUAUUUUCAUUUUGAUUUUGAUUUUUGUUAUUGCUGCAGGUCAGGAACUGACGAGGGUGGACUUCAAAUGCCUCAAUCUGCUGUGAGAUCAUAUUUCAAAGAACAAUCUCCUGCUAAGUGGGAACUCCACAAACCAGAAGAUGCUAUUGCAAGGGAAUCUCAUCGGUGGCCAAUUGGCUUUGUUACAACUGGAUUUGUUCGAGGGAGGUUAGUAUACACGUCUUUGAUUACAUAGCAACUAUGUACAUCUAUGGUCUUCCAUUGUUUCGUUUUACUUUUGUUCAUAAUCUCAAUAUUGGAUAUGAUGUGUGUAGCAAGAAGCCAGUAGCAGAGGCUUUAUGUGAGGCAGUCUUACUUGCUCGUCUUAGAGAGGAGCAGUGGAAUAAUAUGCCUAAAAAGCGGAGGAAGGAGAUCUAUGUCCUGGUUAGGAAUCUAAGGUCUUCAUCAUAUAGACUUGCCCUUGCAACCAUUGUGCUGGAACAACAGGAAGAAGAUGUGGAAUUUAUGUGAGAUGCCGCAACUCCUGUAUUUUUUGUACAUGUUAAUGAGAAAAUGAGAUCUGCUCAAUUUAUUUUUUGCUAUUUUUUUUAAUCCCUUAAAUUUAAUUUAUUUGUUGGACAUUGUACACAAUUGGCUACUCUUUCUUCCACCCAGUUAAGGAGAGAGAGUCCAUAGUAGAAGAAAACAUGCUUCUCUUGAACUUUUUCUUUAAUUAUUUUUUAUGUACAGGGGAAAAAAGUGCAGAAUGAUGAUUAUCUCAUUGACUCCAUGUUUAUGGUGUAGAAGAAAUCAGGAAAAUAAACGUUGUCAUCUGGUUAGAAAUUAGAACUACACCUCAUUUGAGUUAAACCCCAUCGUUAAUUAAUGUUUUUAUCAAACCUUUCUUAUGUCUCAGCCGCCCGUGGCUCCCACCAUCUGCUCCUGCCAUUGCCUUCACCACCAACGUUAAAUCUCUACCAAUGUUGCCACAAAUAUUGUCAGCACCACAAUCUGUUGAUAUCACCUCUCUUGCCACCAGCCCACUGCCACCAUCAUGGUUAUUGUUGCCUUCCGUUGGCUUGCAGCUAUUGACACAACCACUAUUACCAAUUGUCAUCGUCAUUAAAUUGAUAAGAUUGAAAAUCAAUUUAAAAUCCCUUCAUUUAGCAAACGCUAAUUAUUGUUGUAUAUAUUGA